CUGCCCAAUUUUUCGGGCGAUUUAGCGGUCCCUAGGGAGUCCGAAAAAUCGGACGUUGACUGUAUAAACAGAAUGUAACACCCUGUAAAGGUGGUUCCACUGCAGCGAAGCCCUACUUCAAGGUUAAAUGAACAUAUUACCCUCGCAUUGAUUCAUCAUUAUUUAAGUUUAAAAGCUUGUUAUACAUACCAGCUUAUAUGCUCUAAUAUAGUAAAGUUUAAAACGUUACAUAUUUUACAGGUUAUCACUUGCAUUCUACCAAAAGUCAAAUCCUGCUACUAUUCAAUGUUGCUUCCACUUUCCUUUGAACCAAAAAGAAUGACAUUUGCACAUGCCUUGUUUCAAUUUUAAAAAAAUAUUGCGCAGGUUAAUUGGGUCAUGACAAACAUGCUCAAUUUUCUUUAUAUGUCAUAGAUACUAUUCAAAUUUGAUUCAAAAUUAUUCGACUAAAUCACUAUUCGCUUCAAGUUCGCUUCGAACUUCAAGUUUACUAUUCGCACAAGCCUAAAAAAGUGCCUUUAUCUUGUUGCAUAUGUUUAACAUCAAGCUUGCACUGGUACAUAAAUAUGAAGUGCUUGUUCUGAAUGAAAUAGUUGUGAGUGCUGCGAGUGUCAUGUUUUCUUUUGUGUUUCCUUUGAGUCCUUGUAAAUGCACUUCUUCACACACGGCAGUACAGUGCUGAUGCAGUGUCUCAUGGGUAAGAUGGACGCUCUGAUGGCCGUAGUGUAGUGGCACACUUGGUGCAGUGUUCUGGCAGCAUUUUUGAGUGGCGAUGACACUUGGGUAAGUCAUCGUACCGGCAGGGAUGCCACAUCAAAGACUACAUAGAGAUGGCAACCAUGCGCCGCGUCGCAGCAAAGCAGUCAUUUCAGAGUACGGCCUGCUAGUUGUGCCGCUCUGUUAGUGCUGUGCCCAUUCUAAUGCACUUUGCAGCAGUAGAUCCUUAACGAGAGAGAGGUGACCGCAUUUACAGCUACGAGAUGUUUUCUACAGGAGCUCACUGUAAAUGAGCUUUUCAAAAUUCGGUGAUUAGCUCAUGCAACAGGCAUUGCUGGUAAAUUGGCUUGCUCCAGAUUCGAAGUGGGCAACAUAUAACUGCUUUUGCAUAGCAUGUAGCAUAAAACAACGCUAAAUAUUUUGGCACAAUCUGGUAGACAGAAAUGUAAGCUACCUGCAACUAUGGUGGCGCAUUUUUCUAGGCCUAGCAGCGUUCACUCAAAUGGCUGCUAGCUUCAGAGACGUGACAGGUGAUCAUUGUGAAAUAUUCUUGCAAUAAAUUGAGAACCUAAUUUUAUUAAUGACUUGCUAAUGCAACAGUAGCAACAUUCAAUUCAGCUUGUAAAAAUAAUCCUUGUUGCCAAUGCGCCUUCACAGAAGCUUUGCGAGUUGCGCAAAGCCUGUAAUGCAGAAUCUCCCCCCAAAGAAAACAACGCGUAAACUUCUUCCCAUUUCAUUUUUUUUUUGCGAGAACAAUUGAGUACAGUACUAUUUUAUACCCAGUUGAACAUCUUUGCAUACGCUGUACUGAAACUGGUGUAGCGUGUAGUUGAGGUGCCACUAUUAAAGCUCAAACCUCGUUAAUACUUUCUGAUGCGACUCGUUACGAUUUGUGAGGACGGCUCACGUUUGAUGGUAUGGCUAACCAGCCUGUUAAAGACACUGUGUCAAACUUCUAAAGCGAGGCGUAGCGAUACUACUGCCCGUGGUAUUGUAAUUACGGCGAAGGCUGAAAUACGCCGCGUGUUGCACUGUGCCUCCGGGAUAGUUCAAGAAUUACUCCGUCUCUGCUCUUGGUGCUCUUUUCUUCGUCGUCUUCAAAGCCUACAUCAAGUUGAUCGUUAGUCAGCUCGUGUAAGGGACAAUGACGCAAGCUGGUGUCCCAAAUACCGACUCGCUCACUGUGAAAUUUUUAGAGGUGGCAGUUCGUGGUGCAUUUUGUUUGGUAUCCUGCUUCAAUGCAGAACCUGUCUACUGCUUCGUUCAAAAUAACUUACGAAGUAUGCGUAGACUCCAGUGGUGGUGUACAAAAAUAUAUUUCCGCUGUCCUAAAGCUUGACUUGGGUCGGUUUGCUGUAUAAUAGCGGCUCAUUGCGUCUUUUUGUGAGUAACUGCUCAGGUGUUUCUCGAACACAGUUGUUAAUUGUAACUUAAUUUUGUUGUUAUCGUCUUCACCUUAUGACCAAUUUUGGGUGCAGCAAACUAAACUUUCAUCCAAAUGGGAAUGUCAAGACUCGUUUGUACUAGACGAAAUGCACCAAGAAUGUUGCGAAUCUCAAUCACAGAUGAGCCACUGGGACGGUUAUGAGAGACCAGCCUCGCUUACGUGACAAAUCGGUAGGCGCAGUUGGAAAAAUAGUUGGCAAAACUUCCUCGCGCACGUUGCAGCGCCAGCGCUGGCGCAUCGUCAACUCUCUUUUACAAAAACCACGGCAGGAAACAACUCCUCACAUUUCUCGUAGUGUGUAAACACAGAGGGAAGAAGAUAUGGCCCCGAGCAAGGAUCUAUUCAAGGCUUAACGUUGCGACAAAAAAGAGAAAAAAAAAACUUGAGAGGCAUUUUGCUGCAAGUGUACUGCUAUGAUUCACUAAAGGCUUGCCCGUACCUGCUAAAAAAUAUACAACGGUGUAUGUAAUACUAGGCUGGCAUAAACGCUGAUUUGACGUGCAGUCUGUGUACUCUUCGAGUAUUGCUUCAAUUACGUCUUUGUAAGAGUGCCGUUUUUGUUGGCUUGCUUUGGGCCAAGCCACGCCGGAUUAAGGGCUGUAUUACAGCAGCUUCAGUAAAGUGACAGUUUUCUUAGCUGAUGAGAGGCUCAACGAAAUGUGUCUCCAGAAAUCUGUACUGAAAAGCGCGUUUGACGAGUAUGUAGCCAAACACUCCCUUUUUUUUGCGGUUAAAAGACUAACAUCGUGUGGUCAAAAGGUGCUGUCAGUUCAUUCUCUCGGGCCAAGACAGCGGCCAGGAAAAAUGAGCAAAAGAAUCCGUGUGUGUGAGUGUGUGUGACUGGUGUGUAUGUGUCCGUGGCGUUGGUGCCCCUCGAGAAAAGUACAAGUGUUGCUCCUCCUCACGUUAUGUAUAAGUUGAUAUCAAAUUGUACGUUUUCAUUAAUGCAUUGCAUAAACUUUUUAAAAUGUGACAACUUUGUUUAGAUAAGGACAGAGUAUGCUUCUUUUUAUAUAUAGUAUAGUUUUUCUCUCUUUUUAUUGACAACUGUGUUAAGACGUGAUCCCAGCAGAAGGUAGAUUGUGCCGUGUUUUUUUUUUUCUUACUUUGUUUGUUUGCGUUGAAGGAGACAUAUUUUUCAUUGACACAUACCUCGAUUAUGCUUGUUUUGUCAUUCUUUGUGCUGACGACUUUUCUGUUACAAUACUGUACAUGUAUUUAAUUUUGUGUUUCGAAGGACUGUAGUGCCAACUCGAUUUCAACACGGCAGGCAUUGUGGGGAGGCAAGACAAAACAGCUGCUUAGGAUAGUUGCUUUGCUUUUUGUUUUCCUCCCAGCACAGGCACACAUUUUUGAAAACAAAUUUCUAGGUUUCUCUCGGUUCAUUUUUUUUUUUUUUUUUCCCGUCUUCGAAAGCGUGAGUGAGCCGGGAGUAACCUGUGUCUACGGGUAGCGACAAACUUGAUCGCAGUUUUCUUCGUUUUCGGAUUCCGUUUCUCUCGUGUUCCGUCUUUCACUCUUCUUCCUCUUCACUCCCGAGUUUCCAAUCGGUCUUUUAGUAUUUUGUUCUCAUCUCUGCUCUCGGAGCUGGCAUUGGUUUCGUGAGAGUGCGAUUCUCCUGCCAAGAGGCAGUGUCGGGAAAUGCACACAGUGGGAGCCAAAGCGUACUUCGUCUGCCAACGGCACCUCGAUCUGCAUUUCGUCUGCUACCGCCGGCAGACGAAACGCACCAUGACUUCUGGUGGACUGUCGAUGUCGCCGUGUCAACAUAGAAAUCACUUGCUCACUCUGGUUGACGAUGAAACAACAACAACAACAACAAAAAAUGUGUGUGGUACUGUCAUCGAAUGCACAGGUCUCGCUAUUUAGUAGCUUUCCAUGUGGUACAGGUAUUCUGGAAGGCAGCUUUCACAGAGCAUCCAGCUAUACUUGGGAUGUUUCGUGCGAAAAUAUGAGGUCCUUUGUCAGGUUAUGUUUGACGUCCCAAGUUGGCUUAGCAUGCGCUGUUGGUGGAACCCAGCUUCUGGGACAAACCUUCAGGAAAAGGCGAUCAUUUUGUUGGGGUACAAAAGACAAGAAAAAAAAAGAUUGAAAAAAAAACAAACACACAAUCACUGCCAACAUUCCUGUGUGUACAAACUACCUGUACUUUUUUAAGUUUUACGAUGGAGUCAUUGUGUGUGCUACUUAAAACUGUAAAAGGUGGUUGAACAUUUAAAAAAAUAAUAAAUGCUGCUGAAACAGUUGCCCCAGCUCAGCUGCAUGAAGCAUCGAAGCGACUCGUAUGGGGGUGACGCAUACUGCUGAGAUGUACAUGCUUAUUUUAUUGGCAUCUGUAAGAACUUGAAGUGUUCAACUGUGCUCACAAUUUCUUGUUACCUCUUUGAUGUGCCAUGACUUAAGAGAAAUGAAAAGUCUGGAAACUUGUCAAAAUUGAUAGGGAAUCUAGCACAAAAUUCAUUGGGAACCUGGCACCCUUAAUUUAGUAGUUUUCUGGCUUUUUUGCAAGGUUACUCGGGCUAUGGCCCAUUUAGCGUAGAAAUGUUAGGCGCCACUUGUAGAUCUUGCUUUUUUGUAAGUGCAGGAACUUUUUAUAAUGGUCACAAAGUCGAGUGGUGUAGCUAGACCUGUUGCUAUUCAGUAGGUUAUCAUUUUAGCGGGCGUGUCCUUAUCUGUUGCAGUUAGCUAUGAAGUCGGCUUCAAAAUAGGGGGCUUUUCUUCUCUACAAAACGAAGGUGUGUAGCUGCUGAAGUACAAGCAGUAAAGGUCUUCGUACAUUAUAUUAUCGAUUAGUGCAGUUUUAUGUAACCCUUCAACUGCUGACUUGAAAGACACAGGUUCAGUCCCAGCCAUAACGAUCGCAUUUUGAUGGAGAUGAAAUGUUGCAGUUCUAUUGGAAGGCAGAGUCGGAAUGUUGCACAGGCUUUUGUGUCACUUGUAGUAACUUCUUUUUUUCUGUUAUUUGCCGGUCUCUUCAGUGCAGAUAAGUUUAAAGUACAUUUGCUUAGGACGUUAGUUCCAUUUCACUGACCUCAAACGAUGCUGCGCUGACGUAAAGGGGAGUGAGUAAUCAACUAAAGAUUUUUUUUUUUUUUUUACAUUUUUCAGUAAGUAAGAAAGAGGAGUUGGCUGCGCAGGAAGAUCAUUGGUAGAGGCCUUUGUCUUGCAUUGGACAAUAGAUCGGUUGACGAUGAUGAUGAUGAACGCUUCCAGAACACUUUUAUCAGACAGCUUGGCAUGGUUCCUUGAAUUCGCGCUUAUUAGUUUACUUACUAGCAGGCAAAUACCCUAGAUCAAUGCUUUGAUUGGCAAUCUUUUAUGUCAAGCUGAAAGGGCCAUUCAGUCUAUUGGACAGAAACAAUUUAACCGGCUCCUGGCCAUCGCCUGCAUUGCGUCUUUAAACGCUAACAGGAAAAUCUGUUCUUCCGAAGCACUCAAAGUGGAGUAAGGUUUGUGAAAAAAAAAAUUGUGGCAUGAAGCUGCGAAGGAAAUCCGUACGGAUUUCUCAAAGAGAAACCUUCUCGGCUGACUAGAAAGUGUGUUGUUGCUUCUUGUCUCCUUUAAAUUUAAGCAGUGUUGGUCAACAGAACACUUCAAUAGUUGAACUUUGAGUGUUCAUGCAGCUGGGCUCUAAUGCACUGUGGAGGCGAGCUUUCUUCUAAUUUUUACUUUUUUUUUUCUCUUAUAGCCAUUCCCUAAAGAAAAAAAAAAGAACUCUGAACACACCUCAUUUUGCUAACUUCCCUCGACAGUCAAACUGUCUGCAGUCUCGAGUGUGUACCUUUUUCUCUGAACCCAGCAUUUUGUUGAAAAAGAACCUUCUGCUGUUUCCGAAUGUGCCAAAUGGAACUUUGUUUCCCCCUCCGCCUCUUUUUUGUUGACCAUGGCAUCAUCUCUUGAAGCCCGACGGGUAUCCUCAUUGGGCACACUGUAAAAAAAAAAAAAAAAUGUGGUGGUCGUGCAAAUGGAUGUUGAACCACAGUUCCUAUUUUGAUGGUUUCGCCGUUCUCGCCCAUGGCCGCCGUAUUUUUCUCUCCUUUUGUGCACGUAUGGCCAUCACGUUUGUGUUUACGUUCCAUGUUUAGACGACCGGUAACGUCCUCCCGCGACCGGAGAUGGCGCGAUUGUGGUGGUUGGACUCUUUGCAGCUCUUUGUCGCUUGUUGAGAGAGAGAGAGAAAGAAAAAAGUGUGUGAAUGCGUGCUCUUACAUGUACAUGUUUCCAAGCACUGCAACACAAGCCAGUGUUUGUUGAUCACUACUUAAAAAGAGAUUGGAUGUGUGGUGUGGAUGAGUGAUUUAAAGUGCGACGCGUUUCUUGUGUCUCGUGGCGGUAUAGAAACAAAACACGAGUCGAAGACGUCACGACGAAAGGCAGCUGCGUCUGGUGACGGGAAAGACUUUUGCUCACCGGAUUCUUUCACGUGCAACGUUCUCAAGAUGUCCGGCGUCGGGCGGAGGACUAGAGAUGCGUGUUGUUCUCGGUGGUGUUUCUGGAGGGGGAAUAGUCUGCACUUAGACGGGCACACUAGAGUGACGAGUCGGAAAUCACUUCGCGUGAGAUUCCGUUUUUCAUUUUUCUCCCCUCCUCGGUUCUCAGUGUACAUACUACAGGCUGAAGAGAGACUGUCUAUGGACUACAGAUUAGUCGACCUCCUUCUCGUGGAGAGAGGCAGAAAAAAAAAAAGAACUUUAGACGUCAGCCUGUUUCUUCCAUGUUGCGGCAGCUCAAGUACAAAUUAUUUCCCGGCUGUAGAUAAUAUGCAUACCGAUGCUCUCUUUGUGCUCUUCGAACGCAAGUUUUUGCAUAAAUCAUUAAGACAGCUCUGGAAGAAAUGGCUUGCACGAGUCCUGGCGUCCUUCAUUAAGACAGUAUCUCGCAGUCAAGCCUGUGCCCUGUCGUAAUAGGAAAUUAGUGCAAGUGUUUUGUUUGUAUGUGCGUGCUGUAUAUGUGGAUAUUAAGGGGGGUGUCCAGGCUACACAGUGUUCUCUUGUUACCUGUCCCCGUGAAUGGUGUCUCAAUGUGCAUCGCUAUACGAAAGCCAAGCGAAAAGGCUUGCUCUCUUGCGUUUCUCUUUUUAAUUUUUUUUUUUACUAAUAGUUCUUAUCGGGACGUGCGACAGGCAGGUAUUGUCGCAACAAUGUUUCAUGCGAACGAAAUCGAAAAGGUAAAGAAACACUUGUAGACGAAAAACCAGGUUACGAUAAGUGCCUUUUGUGUUCUUUGACAGUUGCGUUCCGCUGGGCAAGCGCACUAUUGUGCUUGAAAGGGGGGAAAAACAACACACACAAAAAAAAUAUAAAAGCUCUAGGUUGGCAACACAGACGCCAGACUUGGCUUUCCUGCACGAGGAAAGGAAUAGCUUAGACUGAGAAAGGACAUUUCUUGAGAGAGGCUAGUUUGGCGCUGCUCCUAGAACACUCACAAAGCAAAAAUGCAUUGUAAUCAUUGCUCUAGAGAUGCAAAAUUUUAUUUUUAAUACUGUAGAUUUUUGUAAGUCUUGUGAUUGACAUCUGUAGAGGUGUGCAUUAUCUUAGGUGAGAGCAUAUAGGUUUGUCAUUGUGUUGGUAGCGUGCUUAACUUUUUUUUUCUUGCAGUCAUCCCAUCUUGUUGCAGUUUUUUUUUUCUUUCUUCUUCUUUUUAAAAUCAAGGCUUUGUCACUGAAUGUUUGACUGAUGUACACUAGAAGUGGGCGUGAAGUGCCAUGGAUUCCCAGACACCCAAAGUAAACUGUACAGUAAAUCGGGGCACCUCUGUGGCUUCGUUUCGGACUUUUGUUGCCUUUCAAGGGCAUUGUUAGUGGAGCUGCCCAGGGAUCCAAUUGGCCCAGUUUGCAUCGUAGAUAGGCCUGUGAACAACUUGCUCACACGCUGCGCUGGAUGCUUGCACGAGUUCUAGCUGUGUAGCUUCCAUGCCAUGACCAGCUCUGAAAACAUGGGACGAGCACUUAUGUCGUCUUGUGGUCUUUUGUACUGUUUUCGGUAUGGAAUGUUCGCUGCGUUUCCCAAUUGCCAGCAGCUGUCUUAUGUCGUGUUUUGUCAAAUCUGAGGCCAUACUCUCAAUUGAUCACUCGUAAAGAUAUCACUUCUGUUCACGUCGACUGGUGGUUUUGCAUAACUGGGCAUCAUCCAUGCCUUGUAGAUGGCUUUUCAUUAACUUCGACAACUUAAGGAUCCUCAAUGCAUGUGCAAUGUUGGGCACACAAUCUUAAUUGCAUUCCACCCCGAUCGUAGUUCAGCUGGUAUGACGGGGAACCAAAUCCAUCAGAUCGUGCUUGGCAGUGAACUGUUGUCGUCAUCAAGGCACUGUUAAUUGGUAAUAUUUUCUUCCAGAUACAAUUGCUAAACAUUUCUUCGUGUAAACCUAAAGGCACGCCUUGGGGGGGACAAAUUGAGAAUAUCUCCCUUGGUUUGGAGUGUAGACUGCACAUGUUUGAGAGGCCUUUUCGUCGUGUAAACUCAACUGUGUCAAGGUGUAUGAAGUGUGGAAGGAGUCGGAUGUCGCGCUUGGCAAAUACACUUAGUUAGUGCGAGGCAAAUCCACAUUCCCUCAAGGCAGCAAAGGCACGUAUUCUCAUUCACCUCCGGUGUAAACCUGUUGUACUUUGGUGUCUGGCGAUUCCCCCCGCACACGAAGUGAGACACUGUUGCGAGUGGAAGAGUUUUGACUUGUACACCUAGAGCAGGUUGCUUUGUGGUGCGUGUAAUCUAGCGUAUUGCGACUUAUUUACCGAAUAGUCUGUUUUUUUCCCCCAACUUCGUGAGAAAGGGUGCCAGUUUUUGGCUUUCCCCCCCCUGUAGUUCAGUCGAGAGAGUGCACGUGGAAGACACUGCAGUGUUUUUGGCCCCGCGUCCUUAAGGUCUGCCUGAAAGCAGCGAGUGUUCCGAGCUUUUCAACACCUGCCCACGCACACCCUAAUGGCCGAGGCUUUUCACACUCGAACCUUGGUUUGCCCGGUUGUUGUAGUUGCCGGCGAGGCGAGCUUUGCUGUCGAAAACUGCUGUGGUAGUUGCUGCUUCAACCGUCGAUGAGAAGUAACACACCCUCACCCUGUAAAGAAAAAACAACAACAAACGAUGGCGCCUGGAGCACGCGUCUCGAAAGAAAAACAACAGAAAACGGAAGGUGCUGCUACAAGCAUACCACAUUGCAGUGUACAGAUUUCACUCAUUUACAUGUGCUCAUUCAUCACAUUUCCCUGUUGUAUAUUGCCUCCUACAAAACUUCUUCCUCUCUGACCGUUUUUUUUUCUGUUUUGUUGUUGCUGCAUACUGUGUUUACUCUGUUUAAAGACCAAAAUAAUUUGCAUGCUUUGUCUAUUUGCCCGAGCAGAUUUACAAUAAAAGAAAGAUGACCUAAA